GACGAACGCUGGCGGCGUGCCUAAUACAUGCAAGUAGAACGCUGAAGAGAGGAGCUUGCUCUUCUUGGAUGAGUUGCGAACGGGUGAGUAACGCGUAGGUAACCUGCCUUGUAGCGGGGGAUAACUAUUGGAAACGAUAGCUAAUACCGCAUAACAAUGGAUGACACAUGUCAUUUAUUUGAAAGGGGCAAUUGCUCCACUACAAGAUGGACCUGCGUUGUAUUAGCUAGUAGGUGAGGUAACGGCUCACCUAGGCGACGAUACAUAGCCGACCUGAGAGGGUGAUCGGCCACACUGGGACUGAGACACGGCCCAGACUCCUACGGGAGGCAGCAGUAGGGAAUCUUCGGCAAUGGGGGCAACCCUGACCGAGCAACGCCGCGUGAGUGAAGAAGGUUUUCGGAUCGUAAAGCUCUGUUGUAAGUCAAGAACGAGUGUGAGAGUGGAAAGUUCACACUGUGACGGUAGCUUACCAGAAAGGGACGGCUAACUACGUGCCAGCAGCCGCGGUAAUACGUAGGUCCCGAGCGUUGUCCGGAUUUAUUGGGCGUAAAGCGAGCGCAGGCGGUUUGAUAAGUCUGAAGUUAAAGGCUGUGGCUCAACCAUAGUUCGCUUUGGAAACUGUCAAACUUGAGUGCAGAAGGGGAGAGUGGAAUUCCAUGUGUAGCGGUGAAAUGCGUAGAUAUAUGGAGGAACACCGGUGGCGAAAGCGGCUCUCUGGUCUGUAACUGACGCUGAGGCUCGAAAGCGUGGGGAGCGAACAGGAUUAGAUACCCUGGUAGUCCACGCCGUAAACGAUGAGUGCUAGGUGUUGGAUCCUUUCCGGGAUUCAGUGCCGCAGCUAACGCAUUAAGCACUCCGCCUGGGGAGUACGACCGCAAGGCUGAAACUCAAAGGAAUUGACGGGGGCCCGCACAAGCGGUGGAGCAUGUGGUUUAAUUCGAAGCAACGCGAAGAACCUUACCAGGUCUUGACAUCCCGAUGCUAUUUCUAGAGAUAGAAAGUUACUUCGGUACAUCGGUGACAGGUGGUGCAUGGUUGUCGUCAGCUCGUGUCGUGAGAUGUUGGGUUAAGUCCCGCAACGAGCGCAACCCCUAUUGUUAGUUGCCAUCAUUCAGUUGGGCACUCUAGCGAGACUGCCGGUAAUAAACCGGAGGAAGGUGGGGAUGACGUCAAAUCAUCAUGCCCCUUAUGACCUGGGCUACACACGUGCUACAAUGGUUGGUACAACGAGUUGCGAGUCGGUGACGGCAAGCUAAUCUCUUAAAGCCAAUCUCAGUUCGGAUUGUAGGCUGCAACUCGCCUACAUGAAGUCGGAAUCGCUAGUAAUCGCGGAUCAGCACGCCGCGGUGAAUACGUUCCCGGGCCU
rnacentral:rRNA from 1 species